rnacentral:rRNA from 1 species
GACAGAGGAUGCAAGCGUUAUCCGGAAUGAUUGGGCGUAAAGCGUCUGUAGGUGGCUUUUAAGUCCGCCGUCAAAUCCCAGGGCUCAACCCUGGACAGGCGGUGGAAACUACCAAGCUGGAGUACGGUAGGGGUAGAGGGAAUUUCCAGUGGAGCGGUGAAAUGUGUAGAUAUUGGAAAGACCACCGAUGGCGAAGGCACUCUACUGGGCCAUGACUGACACUGAGAGACGAAAGCUAGGGGAGCAAAUGGG